rnacentral:rRNA from 1 species
AAUAUGGGACAAUGGGCGAAAGCCUGAUCCAGCCAUGCCGCGUGUUUGAAGAAGGUCUUCGGAUUGUAAAGCACUUUAAGUUGGGAGGAAGGGCAGUAAGUUAAUACCUUGCUGUUUUGACGUUACCGACAGAAUAAGCACCGGCUAACUUCGUGCCAUCAGCCGCGUUAAUACGAAGGGUGCAAGCGUUAAUCGGAAUUACUGGGCGUAAGGAGCGCGUAGGUGGUUCAGUAAGAAGGGUGGGAAAGCCCCGGGCUCAACCUGGGAACUGCUUUCAAAACUGGCAAGCUAGAGUAUGGCAGAGGGUGGUGGAAUUUCCUGUGUAGCGGUGAAAUGCGUAGAUAUAGGAAGGAACACCAGUGGCGAAGGCGACUACCUGGACUGAUACUGACACUGAGGUGCGAAAGCGUGGGGAGCAAAC